rnacentral:ncRNA from 1 species
GCAACAAAUUUGCAAGUCGUAGGGUGUCAAACCUGAAGGCGCAAUGAAAGUGAAAAAAUACCACCCAGUAAAAUGGGACAGUAUUGCCCGGUCUUGCGGCUACCGUCAAAGGAUCUGAGGUAGAGCAAAUUUGCUGC